rnacentral:lncRNA from 1 species
GAAACAAAGGAAACAUAUGCACGUGUAACAGAGAGUGAGAGAGAAGCUGCCAAACCGACCCAAUUACAGACCCGAAAAACCCGACCUGACCUGUGAACGUGACCCGGCCAUCACUUCCAUUUUCGGCCAUCGUUUCAGCCGAGCUUGGUACCAUUCUGAAGCUUAGAAGCUGGCCGUUGUUCCCCUGCCAUCCUCGACGCCGAAAACUAACCAGAACGCCGGCGAUCGAAGCUUGAAACCCGCGACUGUUUCACUUUGCUCCGCCGGGAUUUUCGCCGGUUUUGGGUGACACCACCGGUUGGAUUUCGUUCCUCACGACUCCUUCUUCCAUUUCCGACCAUCCAUAGGCACCGAGAGUCACUGUUUUGCCGCCGGUCGAUUGUUGGAAUUCACGGCUACUGAGCUAGAUUACUGCGUCGUUGCCGUGCGUUGGAGCUCACCGUCGAUACCAUUGAACUCAGCGUGAUUGGAACUUUCAGAUUUGAGCUUCCCAGCCAGUGUUGACCAAAUUUCGGUGACCAUUGACCGGCAAGGGCAUUUUGGUAAUUUCACACUAUGAGGACAAUUUUGUAAUUUUUUAGCCUGUGGAUAUUUUAGUAAUUCCUAGAAUUGAGGAUUGGGUGUAAUUACGAUUUCAAGGGUAAUUCGGUGAUUUACGAUCUCGAAGUAUUUUAAUGAUUUACGAAAACUCAAGGGCAUUUUAGUAAUUUUAUCGACACAGGAGUUGUAAAUUAGGGAUAGAUGUUCGUUUCGAGUUUAUUACAUAAAUUUAGUCAUAAUUCCGAUUUACGAAAAAUAAUUAUGUCGUUUCCUUGAUUUAGGAGGAUCCGUGAGCGAGAACCGGUCCGCGGACGUGGACGAUAAACGACUGUGAACACCAUCACUGUGAGUAGAAUAUACAAAACCUAUUUUCAUAGUUAAUUAUGAUAGUAAAUCAUGUUUGUGAAAUAAGUGUUUUAAAUGUUCUGGUUUAAUAAUUUCCUCAAAAUGGAUUUUAUUCACGCAUUGGUAUUUUAUUAAAAUGUUGGGUUAAUGAUUUUGCAUAUCGACUUUGAAUAAAGCAUAAUAGUAUUUUAAAGAUAAGAAAAGUGGAUUCAAAUGUGGUAUGAUUUAAAGUAUGAUUAGAAUAUACAUAAAUAUGAGUAUAAUGAUUGUUUUUGAAAUCAUUAGACAAUACCCUUCCCCUCCAGAUACAGUGAUACAGAUGAUAUGAGAUGAGAGGCCUUUGGGGCUCGUCUGAAUACACAUAGAGGCUUUAGGUCGUGUGUUUGUGCGCUUUUACCUUUUGGGGGCAUAUGCAUGCGGUAUGGUGAUUACAGAUAUACUGAUAUGAGAUACAGACAUAUAUUGAGAUACAGAUGAUACAGAUGAUAUAGAUGAGAUACAGGCUUUUGGGGCCCGUCUGAGUACACACAGAGGCUUUGGGCAGUGUGCUUGGGCGCUUUUGUCCUUUGGGGACUAGAUUAUGCAUGCACAGAUAUGAUGAGAUAUGAGAUGGUAUUUCCCUGUCUAUCCGUGUAGCUUCGGAGCGUGAUGGUACCCCGAUAGUACGUUAUUGCCCGUCCGUUGAGGUCCGGAUAUGACGAGAUUAUUUCCCUGGGUACUUGUUUGGUGAUGAUUUUCAUAUUUGUGAAUUCUAUAUGAUAUUGUGAUAUGAUUUCCAUGAUUAGUAAUCUGAUUUAAAUGUUUAAUGCUUUAUUACUGGUUUCUCAUUUUUGGUUUAAUGAAAUCGUGUUUGGAAAUGAUAUGAUUAUUUCUUUUAAAGUAAGAAUUAAUUUUCCACUCACUGAUCUCACUGAGUUUUAAACUCACCCCUUUUUUAUUAUAUUUUUCCCCCCUCACCAAGAGGUUGCAGGUACACCAGACCGACCCAGCGACUGUAAAUAUAUUUUGAGUCUUGGCCACGUGAUGGUGUUAGAAGAUAUAAAUGUUUUUGUUAGGACAUCUUGGUUAUCUGGUCCUGUUGGGAUUGUAUAAUUUUUGUUAUAUUAUUCUUUUGGGAUUAAGAAUAAACUGAAAUAUUAAUAUGAGUUAUAAUAUUAUCUUUUGAGACUCUGGAGAUAUAAAACUUAGUAUUUUGGUUGAGGCUGUUGAUCACUAGAGUUUGUUGUAUAUUGAAUUAUAUUAGGAGUGUUAUAUUCAUAUUUGUAGAUUGGGAGUGUUAUAUAUAUAAAGGAGACUCUGCCGAAUUUUUGGCAGAAUCCUUACUAAUUAGAUUAUUAUUAAUUCUGUUUUGAUGAGACUAGAUUGACUCGCCCGAGGGGAUUCGGGGCGGGUCGUCUCAUAAAUGUUCAAAGAAAAGUUCUUAAAUGUUUUAGAAGAUUUUAAAUGCUAUUUAUGAAAGGAUGUAAGGUGAAUUCAAAAAUGUUUUGGCUCAUAGUCCGUAAUAAUGUAUACAAUGCAAAUGUUAUAAUGUUAUGUAAUGCUAUGGCCAGCUUGCUGGUAUGAUGAUGAUCUUGUGCACAAGGAUGUUACGAACAAUGCGGGGUAUAGUACCCUGAAUGAGAAACAAUGCUGGGUAUAACACCCUAAAUGAUGAAUGAUGAAUGAUGAAUGAUGAUGACUACGAGGCAUGAGCUACCAAAUGUUUAUAUUUUAAUGCUUUUAUGAAUGUUUUAAUGCUUUUAUAAGAAUUCACCCCUUAUGCUAAAUGAAGAUGUUGUUAUAAAAUGUUUAAAGGUAUAUGACAAAGGUUUUCAAAUAUUGUGCAUGGAUUUGCUUACCAAGUUGACGGCUCACCUCUCGUCUCCAAUAUUUUGCAGAUUGAUUAGAGAUGUGGCUUGGGUUCUUAGAUGGAGAAAUUGUCUUAGUGAAUCUUUGGAGUUGCUUUAAAGAUUAAAUUUGGCUAGACUUUUUAUUUUUUAUUAGAGACUUUUCUUUGGAGACUUUAUUUCAGAUGUUUAUGUAAGGAUUCAGUUGGAGUAUGAAUAAUGAUUGUCCAUCUUGAGAUUUAUUAAGAAGUAUAAAUCGUGUGAGGUUUUAUUCCAAUUUUACCCUUGUGUUUUCAUGGGUAAUUUUUGGGAUGUUACACUAAUUUUAUGGUUGGAUAUGCAACUGAAACAAAAAUGGACGAUGGAAUAUAAGCGAUGUUUUGGACAAGAGUUUCUGAAAAGUGGUCAUACAGUGCGUCAGAAUCUUUCUGACGUUCUCUUGUGGGCUUGCCCUCUUGUUUUCUGUUUUCAACUAACCUUGCUCUUUUCCAGGUUGGUUGACAGAAUUUCUUGG